rnacentral:tRNA from 1 species
AAAUAAGAAGCGAAAUAUUGCACCCAGUUUCGACCUGGUUAUCUUGAUGUUAAAUUCAUCCUUA